UUUGGCUAAGAUCAAGUGUAGUAUCUGUUCUUAUCAGUUUAAUAUCUGAUAUGUGAACUAUUAGUUCACACGAUAUUAAAUUAAUAUUUUGAGGGAGAGAACCAUCAAAGUAGCUUGCUACUUGUUUCUCAUGCAUCGCCUUUGAUUUGCACUUCUUCAAAGUGCUGGUGCAUCCCACUCAAGUCAGUUGCAAUGUUAUUUUCCCCGAUGUCUUAGUUACCUGUUUUUCAUUAGUUUUUUCUUUAGUAAAGAGAGUUACCUGAAUAUGAGCAGCUUUUUCUCAAGGCCUUAUAAUCUGUAGUUUUCUGAAUUCUCAACACUUAGCUUUUAUAUAUAUAUAUAUAUAUAUAUAUAUAUAAUUUAACUGUAAUUGCCUUUGAAGAUUAAAAAAAUAUGUAUUUUUAUUUUAAGUCCCAGCUUACAAAGGGAUCAGUGAUGAUGACAGAUAUCUGCAUAUCUCUUUUUUCCGUUGACUAGGCGUAACAUAUACUCUCUGCACUGAUAAACAGCGUAAGCUUAGGAUGUAAAUUAGGGAGAGGACCAUCAAAGCAACAUGCUAUGUGGUUUCUUGUUUUUUACUCUUGCAAGGGCAUAUGAUGCAUCUUACCUAACCGUUCAAUUAUUUAGUCUUAUUUCUGAUGAUUUUUAUUUUAAUGUUCUAAUUGGUUUGUUGCUUAUAAUUUUUGUAGAAUACAAUUUCUAAAGCCUGAGGUUUGCUAAAUAUGAUUGAAGUAUAUUUCAUUUGUUUUUUGGUGGUGUUUGUCUUCUCUGUGGAUAAAGAAUUUUCAAGCACAUAAAAACGCUAGUGGAAGGAAAUUGUUUUUGAAAGAAAUAGAGAAAGCAUCCCAGUUUGCAGUACAUGACUUCUCUUCCAUCUGCUUUAAGUCUUAGUGGAUGAGUUAGAAAGAAGAAAUUUAGCUUCUACUUCAAUUAUCGUAGCAUAGUUUGGAUAGAUGAAAGCUGGGAUCCUCUUCUUAAUGGAUUAGUUGUUUCUUUGGGACUGUCAUAAGCCAAGACUUGCAAGGCCCAGGUUGUAAGUAAGAUUAGUCCUGGUCUUGGUUUUUCUCCUACAAGGGAUCAAUGAUGAGCUUGAUAAAGUUACUCUCGUAUUUAUUUGGGUUCCUAUUACAAAUCAGGUUCCCAUUCUUGAAGCUGUACAUAGUCUGCAACUUUUUUCCAUUGACAAGGUUUAACAUAUCUGAAUUUUUUCCAUUAACACUUAGCAUACGUAUCAUAUAAGAAAUACUUAGUUAAACCUUAAUCAGGCAUGAACCACUCCUACUGGAGAAGGAUCAACAUGGUCGGCAAUAUCAAGUAAAAUAUAUUUGGAAUGACUGUAAUUAGCUUCAAGUUUCAUCAGACAUGACAUGAACUCAACUGCUUUUCUAAAUUUUAAAGUCUGUUCAUCACAGGAAAUCAUGUUGGGAGCAUUACUCAAGUUAUGAAGUCACAGAUUUGUCAGAACACUGACAGGUAGAUGAAGUUUGGGUUUUGCUGGUGACUGUCUGCUGAUCCACAAAAAGGCUUUUUUUAUGGGAUUCCCUAUUACAGUGAGUGAUUUGGUGAAUCGGAAGAAGGAUUUUACUAGUCUUGGGCAAACAUAGUUUGUUUCAGGUGGUAGGAGUGAAGAAACCAUCCUCCAAUUUGCUUAAUGUUCAAGUCAAUAGUAAUGCAGAAAACAGCUAAUACUGGUUGCGGCAUUGCACUACCGAUAGCAAAGGGUUUUUGUUUUGGCAUGUUGGUGAAUAUGGGAGGCCUAGAAUGAGGAAAUAUUUGAAGGCUCUAUUAUUCUAGAUUUCUUUCCUAGUUGUGCGUAAUUUUUGUUGUAAGUGUUAUUAGGUUGAAGAUCUCAUAAUUUUUUUUGUAAGUGUUUCAACCGGAUCUGCUGUUAUAUUAAAUUAAUUCUGAGUGAAAGGGAUGUUAGAGUAGCUUGUUACUUAUCUCUAAAGCAUAGCUUUGUUUAGCAAUUUUGCAAGGGCUUGGCGCAUCCCAUUCAGAUCAGUUCAAUUACUUAUU